rnacentral:rRNA from 1 species
UACAGAGGGUGCAAGCGUUGUUCGGAAUCAUUGGGCGUAAAGGGCGUGUAGGCGGUUUGUUAAGUCAUGUGUGAAAUCCCUCGGCUCAACCGGGGAACGACGCUUGAAACUGGCAAGCUAGAGUACCAAAGAGGGCGGUGGAAUUCCCGGUGUAGCGGUGAAAUGUGUAGAGAUCGGGAGGAACACCGGUGGCGAAGGCGGGUCUCUGGGCAGUAGCUGACGCUGAGGCGCGACAGCGUGGGGAGCAAACAGG